ensembl:snRNA U6 U6 spliceosomal RNA
GUGCUCGCUUCAGCAGCACAUAUGCUAAAAUGGGCAUGACAGAAGAUUAGCAUGGCUCCAGGCAAGGAUGACAUGCAAGUUUGUAAAGGGGUCCAUGUUUUU